CAUGUCUCCUCCGACAGACCUUCCUCUCCUAUUGCCUAGUCAUAUUAUCCUGGAGUAAAGGUUGAUACCUGAUUCUUGGUAGGUACUCAACUAAAAUUUAUUAAAUAAAUGAGUAUGAGCAGACACAUGAAAUAAAACGUGUUCUUUACUGUUUUCCAGGCUGAGUAUUAGAACUAAAAGGAGAAAUAUAGUAGAAAAAGCAUGAACUUUGGAGUCAAACAAGGAAAGGGACAAUGCCAAUUCUUCUCCCCAUGUGACCCUGAUAAGCAGAUUGUGAGAUUAAGAGAUCAAUCACGAGCUGUGCCAGAGACAGGAGUCAGAUUCAUGUCUGUCUAGUGACAACUCCUUGAACACUCCCUGUAUUGUUUAACGUCUGCAAGCUUUGGGCCUUCUCAUUCUGUGGUGAGACAAUCAUUUGUCCUCUCUCAUCUUUCCAGCCUGCAUCCUGCAGCCUGACCAGAGAAGUCAAGGACCACAGGAUGGUGAGGGAUGCUGCCCAGAAA